UACGAGUGCCUCAAGCGUUAUCCGGAAUCAUUGGGCGUAAAGGUUGUGUAGGUGGUUAUAUUAGUCUUUUGUUAAAUUCUUCGGCUUAACCGGGGACAUGCAAAGGAAACGGUAUGACUAGAGGAUGCGAGGGGUCUGCGGAACUCAUAGUGUAGCGGUGAAAUGCGUUGAUAUUAUGGGGAACACCAAAAGCGAAGGCAGCAGACUGGAGCACUCCUGACACUGAAACAAGAAAGCGUGGGUCGCGAAUGGGAUUAGAUACCCUUGUAGU
rnacentral:rRNA from 1 species